AACGUACAUUUUAAUCGGUCAAUGAACAUGUUGCAAUAACGUCUCGUCACGCACAACCUCGGCAUCGUGCGAGCCUUAGAGUCGCCCGGUGAUUGGUUCUCGCGUGUCACGUGAUUGUAUCCCGCGCUGCCAUGGAUUUGGGGGAAGAUUUCGAUUCGCUGAAGAACGUUUACAUCCAAGAGAUCAAUAAGGAACUCGAAAAGGCCAUCAAUUUGCUGCGACAGGUGAAGACAAAUAUGUCUCAAUUGGGCAUGGAGGGAAGCGAUAUCGAGAAGAUGGCUCAGGUUUGGAAGUGUUUUGAGAAGCAUUUUGCUGAAGUAUCCAUCGCGCUUUCCCACCCUCCAGGACUCCACUUUUAUUACAAAACCCAAGCUAUGGUACCACUGUGGUAUUCGAUGGAUAUGAGGGACCAAGCACAAAGGACAACACCCACCAGCGACGGAAGACAACAACUAUUUUCUGUGCUCCAAAUACGGAUCAAGAUGCUGUAGAAAGUGCUGGCUGCAAGGCAAUGGUGUCAUUGUUUAAUGGGAAAACGUCUGACUCUCUUGCAUCAUUGCGAUACAGUUACCUCUGCAAAAAAGUGGCGACAGCAAAGACAUUCGUAACACCAGAGAGAUUGCCCCCCACAACUUCAGGGGGGGGGGGGGGGGGGGGGGGGGGGGGGGGGGGGGGGGG
ensembl:lincRNA